rnacentral:rRNA from 1 species
UACAGAGGGGGCAAGCGUUAUUCGGAAUUAUUGGGCGUAAAGGGCGCGUAGGCGGCUUGGCAAGUGGAAGGUGAAAUCCCUCGGCUUAACCGAGGAACUGCCCCUCCAAACUGCUUCGCUUGAGACCGGGAGAGGUGAGUGGAAUUCCCAGUGUAGCGGUGAAAUGCGUAGAUAUUGGGAGGAACACCAGUGGCGAAGGCGGCUCACUGGACCGGUACUGACGCUGAUGCGCGAAAGCGUGGGGAGCAAACGGG